rnacentral:rRNA from 1 species
UCAGGAUUAACGCUGGCGGCGUGCCUAAUACAUGCAAGUCGAAUGGUAGCAAUACCAUGGCGAACGGGUGAGUAACACGUAGGUAACCUGUCUUUAAGCCGAGGAUAACCAUUGGAAACGAUGGAUAAUACUGGAUAGGACAUUUGAAGGCAUCUUUAGAUGUUUAAAGAUUUAUCACUUAGAGAGGGGCCUGCGGCGCAUUAGCUAGUUGGUGAGGUGAAGGCUUACCAAGGCGAUGAUGCGUAGCCGGACUGAGAGGUUGAACGGCCACAAUGGAACUGAGAACGGUCCAUACUCCUACGGGAGGCAGCAGUAGGGAAUUUUCGGCAAUGGGCGGAAGCCUGAACCCCGAGCAACGCCGCGUGAACGAAGAAGUAUUUCGGUAUGUAAAGUUCUUUUAUUAGGGACGAAAAGACAGAUUGACGGUACCUAAUGAAUAAGCUCCGGCUAACUACGUGCCAGCAGCUGC